AUGCUGCUUGUGGCACGCAGCCUCCUUCCAGGCGCCGCCCCUGCCACCGACUCCACCUUGUACCUACCUGUGCGGCAGCAGCUGGACAGCGACAACAUCGCGGCUCCCCAGCUGGGCAGACGAAAGCGCAUGCGCAAGCGGCCUGUCACAAGCGCCAGCGCUGAGCCCGGGCUCGCGUCACAGGAACAGCCACCGUUGCCUGGGGAACGAUCACAGUGGCUUCCCAAAGCAGCGGUCCUCUGUGGCAGUGCCUCAGCAUCGGGCAACGGACUCUUUCUCCGCGCGAUCAUCGCUGAGUCCUGCGAUUUUAGGAAUCCGGCAGGCCGAACCAGGCAGAAGAAAGAUCUGUCGGGGCUUCACGGAUGUCCACGGCGCUCCCCAGGAAUCACCAAGUUGCUGCAGACCUGCCCAAACAGUGUGAGGGUGCCUCUCGUUGAAAGCCCUCUCGGCUGGGAUUUCCAGAAGGAGAGACAGAAAGAAAGAAACAAAAAUCAAGGAGAGGAAGACCGAGGAAGAAAAAGAGGGAGAAGAGGAAUGUUGUUUUAUUCUAAAAAUGGGCCAGAAUCUGAGCAACCCACUGCGCCGGCCAAAACAGCAGCGUUAAGAAUUAUGGUGCCCUUCUGCCUGGGAAUCUCUUGUCUCCCUUUAUUCAUGGGUCCAUAUUAGGUGACUCUGCCUUCCUGGAGCUCCAAACAUCGGUCAGAAAGGAAACCAGUCCAGUUUAUUCUGCAUCAAGAGCAGCCGUGCUGAGGUACCUGCAAAACUGCCACACCGGCCACAAGAGUUGCACUGGUGACCCAUGGGGCUCCUCCGCUGGGAAUCUUCUGGCCCAUGAGUGGCAAAAAUUCUUCUGAAAGUGUGGCAUCCUCUCGUUCUCUGCACGUUCACUGGGAGCUACAAUCCUGAGAUGUUAGCAAUCAGCCAUCAUGGAUCUUUCUCGAUAUAGUAUGAACAUUCUAUAACAAGCAUUUUUAAUAUUAGCUUCUUUUAUAAUGGAAAAAAUGUUCUGCAUUAACAUUGUUUCUAAAAAUAAUAUGUGAUACAGGCUCAGAAGAGGUCUAACACAGGCACUGCCUAAAAAAAAGCAACCAUGAUUUAUUCUGUUACAGGAUUUAUAAUUAAAAUAUUAUAUUUACAUUUAUGCUGAUAAUCUUUUAAAUUUCUAAAAUUCAGAUCAGACAAGAACCCAAGGUACUAACCAAGAGAAAAAAAUCACGAUUGGCUUCAGAUGUGAAAGCCUGUUUUGUAUGUCUGAAAAAAAUUUCUCAAAACAUGUAUUAUCCAGCCAAAAAACAGGAAUCCAAGUUUUGACUUCGAGAAUAGGCUAAGAAAACCAGAGAGAACUUACAGGCAUUUGAGAGAAUAACCUUGACUUUCUCUGCUGCCUUUCCUUUUGAAUGU
rnacentral:lncRNA from 13 species